rnacentral:rRNA from 1 species
ACUCCUACGGGAGGCAGCAGUGGGAAUAUUGCACAAUGGGGAAGCCCAUCGAUGCAGCCAUGCCGCGUGUGUGAAGAAGGCCUUCGGGUUGUAAAGCACUUUCAGUCGUGAGGAAGGUAGUGUAGUUAAUAGCUGUAUUAUUUGACGUUAGCGACAGAAGAAGCACCGGCUAACUCCGUGCCAGCAGCCGCGGUAAUACGGAGGGUGCGAGCGUUAAUCGGAAUUACUGGGCGUAAAGCGCAUGCAGGUGGUUUGUUAAGUCAGAUGUGAAAGCCCGGGCUCAAGCCUCGGAAUUGCAUUUGAAACUGGCAGACUAGAGUACUGUAGAGGGGUGAGAAUUGUCAGGUGUAGCGGUGAAAUGCGUAGAGAUCUGAAGGAAU